CACGCCCAUCGCACCAACGUCUCUGCGCACGCGCCAGAAGCCAGCUUCUAGUUCUUUCGACCAGUUUGCGGAAUUCCCGCUUAGUUCGCUCCCGGACGUUGGGGCGGAUGGCUGGUCACUCAUCUAGAGCUGCUUUAAGAAGUUCCUCGUCGUCCUCCGCCUGGGUGGAACGUGUCCGUCGGGACUUUCUGCGUCUUACGUGAGGGGUCGGCGGCCCUUGGGACUACACUUGGGGAAGAGACUUUGAAGCAAAGAGAGCUGACAGCCGCAGGCGUCAUGUCCAGUUACGUGAAUUUGUGGCCGGGCUCGCCGCAGGAGGAUUCCUUCUCGACCACCCGGUCGGGCCAGUCCAGCCGACUGUCCUCGGCCUCCAGGAGCCGCUCGUCUUCCGGAAGCGGCUCGCGGUCCCCGUCCCGCGGCUCGAGUCGGUGGUCGUCCCGGAGGAGGAGCAGGUCGCGUUCCAGAAGGCGCCACCAGAGGACGUACAGGCGCUCCUCACGGUCCUACUCGCGGAGCCGCGGCUCUUCCAGGAGGUUCUCUCGGUCUCCUUCGCGGUACCGAUCCCGCAGCCGGUCCCGAUCUCGGGCAAGGUCGUACUACCCAAGGGCCUACGCGCUCACCGCGGGGCGCCGGCACCACGGCUUUGGUCGCACGGUGCACCCGGAGGAACACAGAAGUUGGAGGGGGAGAGCCAGGACGAGGUCGCGAAGCCGAACCCCCUUUCGGUUAAGUGACAAAGAUCGAAUGGAGCUGUUAGAAAUAGCAAAAGCCAAUGCCGCAAAAGCUUUAGGAACAGCUCACCUUCAUUUGCCAGCUAGUCUCAGAACUGUUUAUGUACCUAAAGAAACAAACCGUAGUACAGCUCUACCAAAUAAUGGUGCAAAGUUUGAGAAAUCAUGAAUGUGGUCUCCAGACAUUGAUGAAGAAAAUCUGUUGGUAAUUGAUACAUGAGCAAAAGCAUCAGAGGUUUAACUAAUUUGAAAUUUUCACACAUUGAAAGCAUAGUUUUUGUUGGUAUAUCAAUGUGCGUGCUAGAAUUGGGACAGGUACUAUUUGGAUAAGAUACUAAAAAAUUUUUGAACUGAAGUACACUUUGUAAUGUUGGGCAUCUGUGAUAUAGAUGUCCCUUUCAUAAUAUAUGCAAUAUAUUCCAGAUGUUUUGAGAGAUUACAGAAGAAGAGGCCUACUUCACUUGCAGAUAAGUUUAUUAUAAUUCUCCAGAAAUGUGCAGGAUGUGCAUUGGCAAAUUGCACUGGGCUUUUAAUUAUGAGAAAUCCAAAGCAUAAAGGUCUUAAAGAUUCAAGGUAGUCAGGAAUUGAUAGAUUCAGUUAACACAGGAAGUAAGUGUUAUCAAGGUGAAUCUACCAUUUGGACCCAGAUACAGAUUUGCUAAAUAUUAGUAGUAGAUAAGAUCUUAGUUGCUUUUUCAGAUGAUUGUGUGCCCAAAGGGCAAAUGCCUUACUUGUUUGAAACUAGGUAUUUUCUGGUAUGACUUCACUUUCAAAGUUAACUUGAAUUUGCAUCAAGGGAAUACAAUUCUGCUUUAUGGGAAAGAGUGUCUUAAGCCAGUGAUUGAAUCAGUUUUGUUACCCAGGAAACUAACAAGUACUAUGUUGUUGAGGCUGUUGGUUAGAUCCAACUUGAUUUAUAUUUCUAAUUAAAUUUAUAUACAGUUGGGCUGCUUUUUAUAUGGUAUUGUAAACCAAGGGUAAUGGUCUGUAAAAAAUACACUUUCUCUUGCCUGUCUAGCUUUUGGAAAAGCUAACGGAAGAUGGAACUAAAUAUCUCAAGGAAAAAUCUUCCCAGCAAAAAAACAUAGCUUUUAGCUCUAAUAAUUCUGUAGCCAAGCCAAUGCUUCAGAAAUCAUCUAAAGCUACUGCUGAAGUGACCUCUACAGGAUCCUUGAAAAUAGAUGG